GUGAAACAGAGGUAUUUUUAUCCAAGAAAUCGAUUGGUGGUAGUCCCAAUCUUCUGUGACUUACAGCUAAGAAGUUACGGGUUCGAACCCCAGAUAAUAAGUUGUGUUUUAAAGUGUCCGUUUUCUUCGACCGAAUAUUGUAUUUUAUGUUGUUUUUUUUUUAAUGAGAAAUCAUUUGGUGCGGUUUUUAGGACUCUUGGUCAUACAAAUAAAAAGUUAUGGGUUCGAACCUUGUAUGAGCAGAUUAAUUUGAGCGUGAAAAAGUCACCUCUCUUCUCUGUUUCUUUUCUUUCUAGUUAGGUAUGAUUUGGGAUAUUAGUGUCUCAAACUAUUUUGAAAAAGAAAAGAAUAGUAACAUCUACUGGCAAAAAAAAAAAAAAAAAAAAAAAAAAAAAAACCGUUGAAGAAGUUACAUUGUGAGAAUUUUAGCACCUACCUACCUAAUCAUUGUAAAAUAUCUUUUCUCUUCUUCUUCUUCUUCUUCUUCUUCUACUGUUAUAAAUGUAAUUUCAAAAAUGUAAAAAAUAAAUAUAAAACUAUUCAAUUCAAUUCUUCUCUUUGACCCAACUCUAGGUUCGAACCCUUAUUUGUACGCCCAAGAGGCCUAAAAAACGCACCAAACGAUUUCUCUUAAAAAAAUACAUAAAAUACAAUAUUCGGUCGAAGAAAACGCACACUUUAAAACACAACUUAUUUUCUGGGGUUCGAACCCGUAACUUCUUAGCUGUAAGUCACAGAAGAUUGGGACUACCACUAGUCGAUUUCUGGGAUAAAAUACCCCUGUUUCACUCUUUUGUACUACCUAAAUACCUAAUGGCG
rnacentral:lncRNA from 1 species